rnacentral:lncRNA from 1 species
ACUGGUUAUUUUCCGAUAUUAUAAAAAGUGAGAAAUGAAUCUUCCAUUUUCAUAUUGGGAAGUUCAAAUUCAGAAUCUUUCUUUCAUUUUCAUCUUGGGAAGUUCAAAUUCAAAUUCAUUCCGUGAAUCAGACGGGGGCUUAGGCUUCUGCUUCUCCAGCGAGUACUGCUUCUCCAGCGAGUACCCGGAGCUUGACCUGGGCUUAGGCUUCUGCUUCUCCAGCGAGUACCCGGAGCUUGACCUGGGAUGCCCAAAUUUGUACCCGAAAUUGAUGGAUCCUUUGGGCUUCCCACUGGAAGUUUGAACGCUGUAACCGACGUACUUGAUCUGCUUCUUCUGAUAAUCACCGCCGCCCAAGCUGUCGAAGAGCUCCUUGAG